rnacentral:misc_RNA from 1 species
GUGGAUACCAAUAUCCAAAUAAACCCGGCGGCGGAGGCAGAGCCCACAUUUCCCUCGGAUUUCACCGACUCUCUUCAAGAUCACAAGACGCCGUUCUUCAAAUCCCGCUCUCGCAGAAGAAGAAGUGACACAUGGGUCAUUUCCAUCUUCGUUAUCUUCCACCUGAUAGCCUUCAUCGCCACCAUGAUCGUCAACGAUUGCUGGACUAACUCUAAUGGUGAUUGCGCUGUCAAAGCCCUCAGAAGGAUGUCG